CCCUGCCGAACAACGAACCCGGGCGCGGUCCGCGCCAAGGAACUUUAACGAAAGAGUGCCUCCGGCCGCCUCGGAAACGGUGUGCGUGCGGGAGGUGAAUCUUGUCUAGAACCAUAACGACUCUCGGCAACGGAUAUCUCGGCUCUCGCAUCGAUGAAGAACGUAGCGAAAUGCGAUACUUGGUGUGAAUUGCAGAAUCCCGCGAAUCAUCGAGUCUUUGAACGCAAGUUGCGCCCGAAGCCACCUGGCCGAGGGCACGUCUGCCUGGGUGUCACGCAUCGUUGCCCCCAACCCCAUCUCCUUGCAAAGGGACGAGGGGGCCUGUGGGGCAGAAAUUGGCCUCCCGUGAGCUCAUGCAUGCGGUUGGCCUAAAAGCGAGUCCUCGGCGACGCGCGCCACGACAAUCGGUGGUUGUCAAACCCUCGUGUCCCGUCGUGCGUGCCGCGUCGCUCAUCGUGUGCUCCUUGACCCUGUUGUGUCGCGCUAGCGACGCUUCCAACGCGACCCCAGGUCAGGCGGGACUACCCGCUGAA
rnacentral:rRNA from 1 species